rnacentral:lncRNA from 1 species
CUUGUUUAAAGCUAAGCAAAUUGAGCCCCUGAUCUGGGGUGACACUAAGCUGAACUCCUUUAAGGAGGUAAACUGUAGUGUAGCCAGCACUCCCUCUCUGGGGUACCCUACUUGUAAAUUACCCUUUUUUCCCUCCUUGCCCAUGAAUGAGAAGCCUUCAUCCUCCUUACACAGGAGCAGAGAAGCCAGCUAGAGCUCUGGGAUAUUUUAGCCACCCGCUGGAUACCACAAGAGGGACCGGCCCCCUCGCGUGAGGCCCACUGCUGCAGACGGGACUCUUAGAGCCGACCGAGGAGCUCACCGUGGAUCUGCAGGAACUCUGACGCCCCUCACUCUCCCCCAGCAGGCGCCGAGAGCCUUUGCCUGCGUGCAGCGGGGCGUCACGGUGAGCUCCUCGUACCUGGGCGGCAGCCGGGGGCCACACGCCACGCACAGGAGCCCCGUGUCACGCACAAGAGCCACGCGCCACGCACAGGAGCCACGCGCCACGCACAGGAGCCACGCGCCACGCACAGGAGCCCCCAGUGCCCGCCUCCCCCUCUGGAGCGCCCGCCCUGACGGUUCUGCUCUGCUGGGCUGCCGCAGAUCGCCGUGCUGACGCUGACGCUGUUUCCCGUCCGCCUGCUGCUGGCCACCUGCAUGAUGCUGCUCGCCUGGCCCCUGGCCUUCGCCGCCUCGCUGGGCUGUGCCGAC